AUGAGAUGAAACAAGUGUUUGGACAUGCGAUCUCACACUAGUUUCAUCUUAUGA
rnacentral:pre_miRNA from 1 species